rnacentral:rRNA from 1 species
AUGGUCGCGGCCACGUACGGCAGCGCGCGAGUCGUCUUGCUGCUGUUCGGGCGCACCGGCUGGGUCGAUGUAGCUCGUCGGCCUGGCGACGACGGCUUCACCCCAAGCAGUUGCACCUGGGAACCAGGUGCUCAAGGCCCGCUGCCGCGGGAUGCCGUGGAAGGGAGCCGCGGCAGCCGCGCGAGGGCGGAUCUACGUCGCCGGCGGCCACGUAGCGGAGGUUGUCCAUCUCGACGUGCACUCGACGGCCACAGGGAAGACGACCACGAGAGCGCCCGAUAG